AUAUGUUUCGGAUGAGUAGACCUCUUAUUGAAAAGUUGCAUGACUUGUUGAUUUCAUCAUAUGGACUGAAGACAACUGAAAAUAUGUGUUCUUUGGAAGCACUUUGUAUGUUUUUAUGGACUAUUGGUGCCCCUCAAUCUGUCGUUCAAGUAAAAAAUAGAUUUCAGAGGUCAAAAGAAACUAUUAGUAGAAAGUUCUGAGAAGUGUUGAAUUGCAUAUUUCUCCUAUCAAAAGAUAUUGUGAAGCCAAGAGAUCCUCAAUUUACUGAUGUCCAUGAAAGAUUACUAGGCGACCGAUUUCACCCUCAUUUCAAUGAUUGUAUUGGUGCAAUUGAUGGAACUCAUAUAAGGGUAGUUGUGCCAUCCUCUAAAUUGGUUCAACAUGUUGGUCGAUAUGGAUAUCCCACCCAAAAUGUACUGGCCAUAUGUGAUUUCGACAUGAGGUUCACUUUUAUUGUUGCGGGAUGGCCGGGUUCUGCACAUGAUAUGAGGGUGUUCAAUAAUGCUCUAACAAAAUAUGCCACUAUUUUUCCACAUCCUCCACCAGGUAAAUAUUAUCUUGUUGACUCAAAAUACCCUAAUCGAUCUGGAUAUCUAACACCAUACAAAGGAACAAAAUAUCAUUUACCUGAGUAUCGAGCGGGUCCCCGACCUAGCGGAAAAAAGGAGACAUUUAACUAUUUGCAUUCAUCUAUGCGUAAUGUGAUUGAACACUCAUUUGGUGUUUUGAAGAUGAAGUGGAGAAUUCUGUUACACCUACCCAGUUAUCCUAUGGCCAAACAAUCCAAAAUAAUACAUGCAUGUAUGGCUCUUCAUAAUUUUAUUCGUGACAGUUCUUUGGCAGAUAAAGAAUUUGACCGUUGUGAUGAAGAUGAAGAUUAUAUGCCAAUGCCAUCAUCUCAGCCUAGUACUAGUCAAUUUGGGGAUGAAGAAAGUGACAUGAAUGCCUUCCGUGAUAAUAUUGCUAAUGCAAUAUUUGCCAAUGUCAAUUGAAUUAUUUUUUUCAAAUUAUUUAUGUAAUAAAUUAUGAAUACUCAGAAACGUUUGUUA